rnacentral:rRNA from 1 species
UACGUAGGGUGCGAGCGUUAAUCGGAAUUACUGGGCGUAAAGCGUGCGCAGGCGGCUUGCCAAGUCAGAUGUGAAAGCCCCGGGCUCAACCCGGGAACUGCGUUUGAAACUGGCAGGCUAGAGUUUGGCAGAGGGGGGUGGAAUUCCACGUGUAGCAGUGAAAUGCGUAGAGAUGUGGAGGAACACCGAUGGCGAAGGCAGCCCCCUGGGUACCAAACUGACGCUCAGGCACGAAAGCGUGGGAGCAACAGG